AGUGAACGCUGGCGGUAGGCCUAACACAUGCAAGUCGAACGGCAGCACAGUAAGAGCUUGCUCUUACGGGUGGCGAGUGGCGGACGGGUGAGGAAUACAUCGGAAUCUACUUUUUCGUGGGGGAUAACGUAGGGAAACUUACGCUAAUACCGCAUACGACCUACGGUUGAAAGCAGGGGAUCUUCGGACCUUGCGCGUUUGAAUGAGCCGAUGUCGGAUUAGCUAGUUGGCGGGGUAAAGGCCCACCAAGGCGACGAUCCGUAGCUGGUCUGAGAGGAUGAUCAGCCAAACUGGAACUGAGACACGGACCAGACUCCUACGGGAGGCAGCAGUGGGGAAUAUUGGAGAAAGGGCGCAAGCCUGAUCCAGCCAUACCGCGUGGGUGAAGAAGGACAUCGGGUUGUAAAGCCCUUUUGUUGGGAAAGAAAAGCAGCAGGUUAAUACCCCGCUGUUCUGACGGUAACCAAAGAAUAAGCAACGGCUAACUUCGUG
rnacentral:rRNA from 1 species